CAGGCCUAACACAUGCAAGUCGAACGGUAGGGUGGUGCUUGCACCAUCUGAGAGUGGCGGACGGGUGAGUAACGCGUAGAUAAUCUGCCUGUUGGUUGGGGAUAGCUUGUGGAAACACAGGGUAAUACCGAAUAAGAUCUUUUUCCGUGAAGGGGAUAGAUGAAAGAGGCUUCGGCCUCGCCGAUGGAUGAGUCUGCGUCUGAUUAGCUUGUUGGUGGGGUAAAGGCUCACCAAGGCGACGAUCAGUAGCCGGCCUGAGAGGGUGACCGGCCACAUUGGGACUGAGACACGGCCCAGACUCCUACGGGAGGCAGCAGCUAAGAAUCUUCCGCAAUGGGCGAAAGCCUGACGGAGCGACGCCGCGUGGGCGAUGAAGGCGGAGACGUUGUAAAGCCCUUUUCUCAUAGAAGAAUAAGCUUUUGAGGUAAUGCGAGAGUGAUGACGUUAUAUGAGGAAUAAGCUCCGGCCAAUUACGUGCCAGCAGCCGCGGUAAUACGUAAGGAGCGAGCGUUGUUCGGAAUUAUUGGGCGUAAAGGGCUCGCAGGCGGUUUGCCAAGUCUUUCGUGAAAGACCGGAGCUCAACUCCGGGAACGCGAGGGAAACUGGCAGACUGGAAUCCUGGAGAGGAUAAUGGAAUUCCUGGUGUAAGGGUGGAAUCUGUUGAUAUCAGGAAGAACACCGGAGGCGAAGGCGAUUAUCUGGCCAGAGAUUGACGCUGAUGAGCGAAAGCGUAGGUAGCAAACAGGAUUA
rnacentral:rRNA from 1 species